GACCAGCAAAAAUAAAAUUGACUGGUAAAAAAAAAAGUGGUCAUAAAAAAAGUGAAAAAAAUUGGCCGGUAAAAAAGAUGAAUGGCGAUCAAAAAAGUGACCGGUUAAAAAAAGAGUGGCCAUAAAAAAAGUUACCGGUUAAAAAAGAAUGGCCAUUAAAAAAAGAGUGACCACAAAAAAUUGGCCCGUAAAAAAAGAAAGACCAGUCAAAAAAAAAUUGAUCAAUAAAAAAAUAAUUGGCCAUCACACAAAGUGAGGCGGUAGCGGCGGAGGUGGUAGGUGGCCCAUAAAAAAAAAGAGACCAGUGAAAAAAUUUAAUUGACUGGUAAAAAAAAAGUCGUAAAAAAAAGUAAAAAAAUUGGCCGCUAAAAAAGAUAAAUUGCCAUCAAAAAAAGUGACGGGUUAAAAAAAAGUGGCCAUUAAACAAAAAAAUUGCUGGUAAAAAAAAAAGUGGUCAUAAAAAAAGUGAAAAAAAAUUGGCUGGUAAAAAAGAUGAAUGGCGAUCAAAAAAAGUGACCGGUUAAAAAAAGAGUGGCCGUAAAAAAAGUGACCGUUUAAAAACGAAUGGCCAUUAAAAAAAGAGUGACCACAAAAAAUUGGCCCGUAAAAAAAGAGACCAGUCAAAAGAAAAUUGGUCAAUAAAAAACAACUGGCCAUCACACAAAGUGAGGAGGUGGCGGCGGCGGAGGUGGAGGCGACGGCGGCGGAGGCGGCGGUGGAGGCCGAGGCGGCGGAGGCGGCGGUGGAGGCGGAGGCGGUGGAGGCGGUGGUGGAGGCGGAGGCGGCGGAAGCGGAGGCGGCGGAGGAGGAGGUAGGUGGCCCGUAAAAAAAGAGACCAGCAAAAAUAAAAUUGACUGGUAAAAAAAAAAGUGGUCAUAAAAAAAGUGAAAAAAAUUGGCUGGUAAAAAAGAUGAAUGGCGAUCAAAAAAAGUGACCGGUUAAAAAAAGAGUGGCCAUAAAAAAAGUGACCGGUUAAAAAAGAAUGGCCAUUAAAAAAAGAGUGACCACAAAAAAUUGGCCCGUAAAAAAAGAAAGACCAGUCAAAAAAAUUGAUCAAUGAAAAAAUAAUUGGCCAUCACACAAAGUGAGGAGGUGGCGGCGGAGGUGGUAGGUGGCCCAUAAAAAAAAAGAGACCAGUAAAAAAAUUUAAUUGACUGGUAAAAAAAAAGUCGUAAAAAAAAGUCAAAAAAUUGGCCGGUAAAAAAGAUAAAUUGCCAUAAAAAAAAGUGACGGGUUAAAAAAAAGUGGCCAUUAAACAAAACAUUUGCUGGUAAAAAAAAAGUGGUCAUAAAAAAAGUGAAAAAAAAUUGGCUGGUAAAAAAGAUGAAUGGCGAUCAAAAAAAGUGACCGGUUAAAAAAAGAGUGGCCAUAAAAAAAGUGACCGGUUAAAAAAGAAUGGCCAUUAAAAAAAGAGUGACCACAAAAAAUUGGCCCGUAAAAAAAGAAAGACCAGUCAAAAAAAUUGAUCAAUGAAAAAAUAAUUGGCCAUCACACAAAAUGAGGCGGUGGCGGCGGAGGUGGUAGGUGGCCCAUAAAAAAAAGAGACCAGUAAAAAAAUUUAAUUGACUGGUAAAAAAAAAGUCGUAAAAAAAAGUCAAAAAAUUGGCCGGUAAAAAAGAUAAAUUGCCAUCAAAAAAAGUGACGGGUUAAAAAAAAGUGGCCAUUAAACAAAACAUUUGCUGGUAAAAAAAAAAGUGGUCAUAAAAAAAAGUGAAAAAAAAUUGGCUGGUAAAAAAGAUGAAUGGCGAUCAAAAAAAGUGACCGGUUAAAAAAAGAGUGGCCAUAAAAAAAGUGACCGGUUAAAAAAGAAUGGCCAUUAAAAAAAGUGACCACAAAAAAUUGGCCCGUAAAAAAAGAAAGACCAGUCAAAAAAAUUGAUCAAUGAAAAAAUAAUUGGCCAUCACACAAAGUGAGGCGGUGGUGGCAGAGGUGGUAGGUGGCCCAUAAAAAAAAGAGACCAGUAAAAAAAUUUAAUUGACUGGUAAAAAAAAAGUCGUAAAAAAAAGUAAAAAAAUUGGCCGGUAAAAAAGAUAAAUUGCCAUCAAAAAAAGUGACGGGUUAAAAAAAAGUGGCCAUUAAACAAAACAUUUGCUGGUAAAAAAAAAAGUGGUCAUAAAAAAAAGUGAAAAAAAUUGGCUGGUAAAAAAGAUGAAUGGCGAUCAAAAAAAGUGACCGGUUAAAAAAAGAGUGGCCAUAAAAAAAGUGACCGGUUAAAAAAGAAUGGCCAUUAAAAAAAGAGUGACCACAAAAAAUUGGCCCGUUAAAAAAGAAAGACCAGUCAAAAAAAUUGAUCAAUGAAAAAAUAAUUGGCCAUCACACAAAGUGAGGCGGUGGCGGCAGAGGUGGUAGGUGGCCCAUAAAAAAAAGAGACCAGUAAAAAAAUUUAAUUGACUGGUAAAAAAAAAAGUCGUAAAAAAAAGUAAAAAAAUUGGCCGGUAAAAAAGAUAAAUUGCCAUAAAAAAAAGUGACGGGUUAAAAAAAAGUGGCCAUUAAACAAAACAUUUGCUGGUAAAAAAAAAAGUGGUCAUAAAAAAAAGUGAAAAAAAUUGGCUGGUAAAAAAGAUGAAUGGCGAUCAAAAAAAGUGACCGGUUAAAAAAAGAGUGGCCAUAAAAAAAGUGACCGGUUAAAAAAGAAUGGCCAUUAAAAAAAGAGUGACCACAAAAAAUUGGCCCGUAAAAAAAGAAAGACCAGUCAAAAAAAUUGAUCAAUGAAAAAAUAAUUGGCCAUCACACAAAAUGAGGCGGUGGCGGCGGAGGUGGUAGGUGGCCCAUAAAAAAAAGAGACCAGUAAAAAAAUUUAAUUGACUGGUAAAAAAAAAGUCGUAAAAAAAAGUAAAAAAAUUGGCCGCUAAAAAAGAUAAAUUGCCAUCAAAAAAAGUGACGGGUUAAAAAAAAGUGGCCAUUAAACAAAAAAAUUGCUGGUAAAAAAAAAAGUGGUCAUAAAAAAAGUGAAAAAAAAUUGGCUGGUAAAAAAGAUGAAUGGCGAUCAAAAAAAUGACCGGUUAAAAAAAGAGUGGCCAUAAAAAAAGUGACCGGUUAAAAAAGAAUGGCCAUUAAAAAAGAGUGACCACAAAAAAUUGGCCCGUAAAAAAAGAAAGACCAGUCAAAAAAAUUGAUCAAUGAAAAAAUAAUUGGCCAUCACACAAAAUGAGGCGGUGGCGGCGGAGGUGGUAGGUGGCCCAUAAAAAAAAAGAGACCAGUAAAAAAAUGUAAUUGACUGGUAAAAAAAAAAGUCGUAAAAAAAAGUAACAAAAUUGCCCGGUAAAAAAGAUAAAUUGCCAUACAAAAAAGUGACGGGUUAAAAAAAGU